ensembl:piRNA 21ur-8560 ncRNA
UCUUGUCUUAAACGUUCUCCU